AUCCGAAUAAAUCUUUUGGUGAUUCGUCGGUUUUAGGUGACAAAGUGGCUAGUGAAGGCUUGGAAUUAACGGUGACUGGACCAAAUUUCGAUGAGGAGACGAUGGAAGAUCCGGGGAUGAUUAUGUUCUUUGGAGUUUUUGUUCCCUCCGACGUCUUUGGCGGUCUCGGAGGGCAAAUCACAAGUUCAUCCUCAAUAUCCACCAGAUUACCCGAGAUAAUCGGCGAACUGGAGAUCGGAGGUAUCAAACUAUGCACCGGCGGUGUCGGUGUAACAGAUGGAAUGGCCUUGUUUCCACUCUCUCUACUACAGCUACUCUUCCGGGAGCUUGAAGGCCUGGGAAAUGGGGCCAUGGCAAACACAUCCUCCUCAGUCUUGAAGAUACCAUUCCCCAAUGGAUUGAUCUCCUCGAUCUCCUCCGAAGAGCUAUCGUUAAACAAUCUAGGCUUCGAGUUAUACUGAUGACUGACGAAAGGAUCCCCAUGAGCCUGUUCAGGCUUCGACUCUGGAUCCAACUCAUCAUCUAGAAGGAGAGGUUUGUCCCCAUAUUGAUGACCAACUACAGGAUCAGGUGCCUCUAUUAUCGCCAGCGAAUGCUCAUUCCUGUGGUGUUUGCGGACUUUUUUCACCCGAUGAUCAUCCUCAUGAGUUGCUACGGACUCACAUUCCGCAUGAUAAGCUGAGGAACCGCAGGUCCUGACACUCUCCGAAAUGGUUUCGUCGAUCUUUGAACGCUCGGCGUCUUCUAUCAUCUCGUUGUCAUCGUUCAUCGCUUUCAGAUCACUAGCGGAACCGAUUGAAUCAUCUGAUUCAUACUCAGGAUCCUGGUUUGGCUCCGAGUUUGAUGGAUUUUUACGACGACUGAGGACAGCUUUCACUCUUCUUCGCUUCUUCUUGAGGCGGUUAGACGAGCGUCUGGUGGCAUUGGAGCUGUCGCUCGAAACAUCGUCGGCGUUGAAGUCUAGUUUUUCGUACUUUGAACGAUCUUCCAUUGGAAUUUUUACGAAUGGAGGAGAAAUUGUGGUGGAAUCCACCAAGAGGCUCGCCUCGUCGUCCAGGGGCGGUGGAUCUGUCGGGGAAGUCCAGUGAGCGGAGAUCUUGAGGCGAUCUGGUGGUGGACCUGAAAGCAAAGAGUUGAGAUGAAUUGCUUUCACAAUGCUGGGACAUAAUAGUUUACAAAAGUUUGGAGGAAGUAUUUGCUGAGGGGGUUGAUGGUUUGGGUUAUUAUGUUAGUGACCAAGCGGAUGGGGUUAUGAGGCUGAUUGCACCCGAAUGGGCGUAGUUUCAAGAUGGACAGGUACUUACCUAAAUAGUUGGGUUUAAGGGGAUUUAUUAGAUAACACAGUGCUUUUUCCGGUUGAGGAUUGAUUUUGUGAGGUUUAAUUGGCCGAUCACGUAGCGAUUGGUCAUUAUUUAAAUCCGACGUUUCUUUUGUUGUGAAUUGUUAAUUAGGUAAUAAAGAAGUGAUUAGAAAAAUCAAGUUAGCUCCAAGUGUUUUGAUUUUAUGAAUACCAGAAGUCUCGGUCAAAAUCUAUUUAAUCGGAAGGUUCCAAACAUUUUUUAGAUUUAAUCAAAAAGUGAUUAAAUCGUUUAAAAAUUAUAGUUUUUAAAAAUGACCAGUAUAUACUACUGUAUAGAGAGAAUUUAGACAUAUUUUAUUUCCUUUCACACAAAUUGGUUCUUCAGAACAAUAACGAAUUUACACAUAUUCAAAAAUGUACUGAUUUCUUUUUUAAAAAAUAAUAUUUUUGAAUGUUUCAAUGAUUUAAAUUUUUCAUUGAUAACAGCGAAUGCUGAAAAAAUGAUAUUUUUCUCCGAAAUGUAAUUUAAUGUAAGUAAAGGAAAUGUUUUUCGCGCAUUUAAUUUAUAAAUUUUGUGAUUGGAAAUUGUUGAAUCGAUACUCCGUCCACCAAGUUGUAAAAAAUACUUGGAUAAUUUUGAAAAUAAGUCGGUUUGUUACAUAAUUGUCAUGAAACUUUCUGGACUCACUCAACGUGCGGUAAUUUACAAAGUAAAUUUACCGAAAUAAAUAAAGCUAGUCAUUUGCUCUAUUGCAAAAUUACUGAGUGCAGUGAUAAAAGUAAUUUAAUACUUUUCUAGACAUGUAAUAACUGCAGAGUAAUUGCUUAAUUAGCAAUCACUCUAUAAUUUGAUAAUCAUUCCAUGGCAGCAUUUUUUGUUACAAGUUCUUUUCAAUGUAAAUACAUUAAUUGCACUCAAAUAUGAGAAAGUUAUAUAUUUUUAAAAUUGUAAGCUAUUUUGAAAUUAUCUGUUAAAACGACUUAUUCUCAAUCUACAUUAAUAAUUACCAAUUAUAGAGCUGAGCAAACUCGAAUAAUUUAAUCACUUCUCCACUGAAUUAAAGCUAGAUAAGAAAGGAAGUGUCUGAUUAGGUCUGUUGCAGCAAAUCAGUGCCCAUCGAUUUUAAAGUGUUGUGUACCCGCAACCCUAUUCAUAAAAUUGAAAAUUCCAAUUAUCCAUCAAACAAUAACUUCAACCAAUAGCAAAGGCCAAUAUAUCAAACAUAAAUAAAUAAACAAAUAACCAUCACAAAUUUUCCCAUUGUUAGUGACGUUAUCACCUCGUCUGGAACAGUCCUAAUCAGAUUUGAGGGGUGGGAAACGUAACAAAACGCAGCAGUCCAUGGACCAGUAUGACGAGUUUGAUUAAUUAUCCCAAAUCAUUUCUUCGAUUAAAUAAUUCAAAAAAAUUUUAAUCUCAAAUGAUAAAUUUUCAGUUGUUCAACCAAUAAGAUCAAGGAAUCGCUGCGUCUUAUCAUCAACAACAUGUGAUUUGAAAAAACGAGACCCAGAAUGUCCUAAUGUACAUUAUUUAUUGCUGUAGACUUAAUCAAAGAUACAGCGAAAAUUGAAAAGAAGGGGGCAAAACUGAUUGAACGAAAAGUCAAAAUUAUCAUUUCGGGGGUCUUCUCACUCCAAUUAAUAUUUUAAUUGAUGAUGUUGUUAAUCUCCGAAGGGUCAAUGAAGCCUCAAGAUGUUUAAUUCGUCCCUCUCCUUUCAUUUCAUGUUUAAAAAAAUGCUCUCAAUGAAUAAAAAAUUAUAGAAUCGAAAAAUCGGUAAAAUACAAGGCUUCCAUUCGGAAGAAAAAACAUAUGUUAACAUUCGAGUGUAGCCUUGCACCUUUUAGAAUUCACACGAGAGUCUUAACAUUCAAUUCUGCAAAAUUUAGAUCAUGUGAUUGAUUUAUUUCUUUUUUUUUCCCUCUAAAAUGGUUUGCAGUGUUGCAUUGCACAUGAAUGAUGAAUCAAUAUAUUGAUGAAAUAUGCGGCUUUAAAUUGUAGCACAUCUUCAUCAUAUUAUUCAGUUCAAACAAAAUUAUACAGACGAGAAUGAAUAACUCAUAUGUAAAAGCUUCCCACACAAAUGGCAAAUAAUUCCACACAGCAGUAAAUGAUGAGCAUAAUUUCGUAUUGUUAUGUGGAAUUAUCUCGCACAUAUGUACAAUCUUUUUAAACAUAUUAUCCAAUUCGGCUGAAUAAUUCGGUGACUAUUGAAUAAAUAGAGCAAUGAUAAAUCGAAAUUUCACGAAUCUGCAGAAUUCGUCAGUUUGUUUAGUGUUUCAUCAAAUCGUUUAAUUUUUCUGGACAUCAAAAUGAAAUGUAGUUAAUUCUAUAUAACAUUCACCCUUUUUUAAAUAAUUCCAAAUGAAUUAACGGCUGAUCUUCAGUCGCUUACAAAUCAAUCUCAAUUUUUCCUACGAUUGGAACCAAGAAAAACUAUUUUGGAAUUUAUUCACAUUUUUUAGUGUUUCAAACGAACAAAAAUCCAUAUCAGCAACAAUUUUCCGAAACAUUCUGCAUUUUUCUGGCCUCGAAUCGCAGGAAAGAUUGAUAUUAAUUAUAAAGAUUGUGAGGAUCGGCUGUGGACUCAUUUGACACUUGAUACCUCAUAUUCAAGUCAAAACCUCAUUGGUGAAUUGUAAUAACAAAAUAAGUCUUAAAUUUUUGACUCAAUGUGCAAUAUGACUUUGUGCAAACUAUUUUGUGUGAUAAUUAAAUCAUCGCAGUACCAGUAUGUGCAAAAUUACAUGUGUAAGACUCAUAAUCGUCAAUUAAAAAAUAAUCAACUGUUCAGAACAAUCGAAGAAAUAAUUAAUUUCAAGGAAAAGAACCUGAGUUAAUUAACAGUUCUGUCUUGAGGAAGCCCGCCUAUAUAAAUAUAUACAUCAAUUUCAACUUUAUUCGUCGCCUCCCAAACUCAUUAGGGUGUUCCAGACAAUGGAUACGCAGAUUAAUCCUCGUAUUCAGCAUUUAAUCAUACACAAUGUCAGUGUUGAAAAUAAUUAAUCGGCUCACGCUGGUACCUGGCGUGCUGAGUACAUUAAAAAAGCAAUAAUUAUCAAUGUCGUUUUUUUCCCUGGGUCGUAAGUACAGUAUUGUCGUCUGGCCACCACUGCUGAGAUUAAAUGCAAGCCGAAACAAUCUCAAGAUAUACAAGGAUCUUUUAUCAUUUUUUGGAGACCACACUAUUGAUUUCACCGCUUGGAGUCCCCGAAUUUUUGUCAAUAAAUUUUGGUUUCAGUCAAAUUUAAUUCAUUAUCGACAUCUCGGAGUCUAUUAGAUAUAAUAAAAUGUUUAUUGGAACCUUUUUUGCGCAUUCACUCGAGGAGGCAAUAAAAAUAAUGAGGAAGAUUUUAAUUUGUCUCGUAUAUUCCAAUAUAUUGAUCGCAAACAAGUCGAAGAUCGGAAUGGAGUUGUCACGGUGUUUAGUCCCGAGAAUCUCCAGCAAAUUUAAAUUAAAAAUAAAGGUAAUGAAUAAAUAAAUGAAACAAAUUCUAGAUCAAAAUGUUGACAAUUUUACAAGAAAUUGAAUCUCCGGAAUAAAAUGAAGGUUCUAAAAGUUCAUUUAAUCUUCAUUAUUUAUUCGUUAUAGAAUGUUGGAAGAAACUGCUGUUUUUAAAGUAGCAGUUUUGUAAAAGAUGCUUGGAUAUCCUGGAAUAUGUAAGUAUCGGUGAAGCCAGAUGAGUCAAUUCUAUGCACGCUCAGAAAAUAAUAUUUUUGUCAGCAAUUCAUUUUCUCCAGAAAAGUAUUUACUUUUUCAAUACCCGAUUUCUCCAUUUGAGUCAUCACUAGACAAUCUUCGGUAAAUUUGAAUUAUGCCAAUUAUAUUGUGCCAGAAUAUAAUCAUGUUAACUAAAUCCUUGAGGGAAGUCCGUCAAUAAUUAUAAGCAUUAACCAAUGCAUCAAAUUUCUUCCCCUUAGAAAAUACGAAAUUCAGAAAAAAAUGAAUCAUUAACGGACUUACUUCAAGGUCAUCUGUGAUAGUCAUGAGUAUGAGAUUAUCCCAAAUGAUACUGAUUCGGCCUUCAAUGGGAAAAAUAUAAUUUUGAAAAAUAAAUACUUCUCUCAAGUAAACGAACAAUUGACAAAAAUAAUGUUAUUCCCAGUCCCGGAACAAGUAAAAUGUCAUAAAAAUGUUCCGGCGAAUUUUUGCAUGACGGGCAACGAGGUAUUCAUCAAAAAUUACUUUCAAGACAUGAUAGAUUAAUCUGAUUCCACCUUUUCGCUAUUGAAUUUGUUAUUUCAUAAUUUUCAUUAUGCAAUAUAUACAUAUCCAAUAUAUAUUCAUAUAAUAUAUUUAUACGUAUUUAUAAGUCCUCAUGGAAGUCCCAGACAAUGUGAAAAGAAAAUUUAUGAAUUAUCAUGAAAAAUAAUAUUUCAUUCUGUAAAAUUAAUUCUUACGUUUUCUGUAUAUUUCUCUCAUCUAAUUUUUCUUUUCACACGUGUUAUCAAUAUCUUCUGUACAAUUACUUAAAUUGUAUACAAUUCACACUGUACACGGAAUAAAGAAGAUUUUCUGCCGGGAAAAUAUUCUCCAAAUAAUAAAUAUAAAUUUUAUCCAACCAUA